rnacentral:rRNA from 1 species
UACGGGAGGCAGCAGUGGGGAAUAUUGCACAAUGGGCGCAAGCCUGAUGCAGCCAUGCCGCGUGUGUGAAGAAGGCCUUCGGGUUGUAAAGCACUUUCAGUUGUGAGGAAGGUGGUGUCGUUAAUAGCGGCAUCAUUUGACGUUAGCAACAGAAGAAGCACCGGCUAACUCCGUGCCAGCAGCCGCGGUAAUACGGAGGGUGCGAGCGUUAAUCGGAAUUACUGGGCGUAAAGCGCAUGCAGGUGGUUUGUUAAGUCAGAUGUGAAAGCCCGGGGCUCAACCUCGGAACUGCAUUUGAAACUGGCAGACUAGAGUACUGUAGAGGGGGUAGAAUUUCAGGUGUAGCGGUGAAAUGCGUAGAGAUCUGAAGGAAUACCGGUGGCGAAGGCGGCCCCUUGGACAGAUACUGACACUCAGAUGCGAAAGCGUGGGGAGCAAACAGGAUUAGAUACCCUGGUAG